rnacentral:rRNA from 1 species
GGGGGGAGCAAGCGUUGUUCGGAUUUACUGGGCGUAAAGGGCGCGUAGGCGGCCUCCGCAAGUCAGUUGUGAAAUCUCCGAGCUUAACUCGGAAAGGUCAACCGAUACUGCGCGGCUAGAGUGCGGAAGGGGCAACUGGAAUUCUUGGUGUAGCGGUGAAAUGCGUAGAUAUCAAGAGGAACACCUGCGGCGAAGGCGGGUUGAUGGGCCGACACUGACGCUGAGGCGCGAAAGCUAGCGAAGCGAACGGGAUUAGAUACCCCGGUCGUCCUAGCACUUCAACGAUGAAUGCUUGGUGUGAUGGGGUCUGUAUAGUCCCCGGCUGCCGUCGUUAACGCCUUAAGCAUUCCGCACUGGGGAGUACGGUCGCAAGACUG